UUGACCCCUGUCUCUGCGAGGCUCUGGGCUCCUGAGUGACUGAAGAGUGGUUUGCAUGAAACCGUGGGCUGUGUCCACACCAAGCUCCUUGCACACAGGCGUGCAAUACCAGUUUUUUUCAGUUAAGAGCUUUCGAUCGUGCAAGUUCAAGGGAGGGACUUCUCAAAGAGACAAAGCCCUUAGGUGUGUUCUGUGCAACGGGUGUGCUCCACUGACCCAUAACAAAGUUGCCAGAAUCGCAGAAGUGCCAUAUACGGACAAGGAAAACGAGAUGAGAGGGAGGGAUAAAGUUGAGAGGCGGA
rnacentral:lncRNA from 1 species